rnacentral:rRNA from 1 species
CCUACGGGAGGCAGCAGUGAGGAAUAUUGGUCAAUGGGCGCGAGCCUGAACCAGCCAAGUCGCGUGAGGGAAGACGGUCCUAUGGAUUGUAAACCUCUUUUGUCGGGGAGCAAAAGACGCCACGCGUGGCGUUCCGAGAGUACCCGAAGAAAAAGCAUCGGCUAACUCCGUGCCAGCAGCCGCGGGAAUACGGAGGAUGCGAGCGGUAUCCGGAUUUAUUGGGUUAAAAGGGUGCGCAGGCGGAAGAUCAAGGCAGCGGUAAAAUUGAGAGGCUCAACCUCUUCGAGCCGUUGAAACUGGUUUGCUUGAGUGAGUGAGAAGUAUGCGGAAUGCGUGGUGUAGCGGUGAAAUGCAUAGAUAUCACGCAGAACUCCGAUUGCGAAGGCAGCAUACCGGCGCUCAACUGACGCUCAUGCACGAAAGUGUGGGUAUCGAACAGGAUUAGAUACCCCAGUAGUC